GCAGACCCAAAGAUAUAUUAUGAAAUUCACCCCCUCCCUCAAUGUGGAGAGAGGUGUGCACACUUCUCCCCUCCCCGCCCCCCAGUUAGAAAUGACAGAAACUGCAUUUAAUAAUAAACCAAAUUUUAUUAACUAUAAAAGGCAGAUUUUAAGUGGUAAAAGGGGUAACAAACAGAACAAAGCAGAUUACUAAGCAAAUGAAACCAAACACACAAACUAAGCUAGUUUCACUAAAGGAAUUGGUUACAAAUACUAUUUCUCACCCUAGAUAUUAUUGCAGGCAGUUUGCAAAGUUUCUGUGGUUCAGAGUUCCAGUUAUAUUCCUUUUCAGGCUGGACCCCGUCUCAAUCUGGACUCCCCCCUUGCCUUCCCUUUUGCAGUCUUUCUUCUUGGGCAGACAGGCCAUGGAAAGGAGGAGUCCUGUUUGCCUUCCUCCCCACCCUUAAAUAGGAUUUACAUAAGGUGGGAAUCCUUUGUUUCCCAAACUUGACCCCCCCCCCUUCCCUUAUAGUGGAAAGUUACCAGGAGUCCCAGGUAAUGUUUUAGUAUCAGGUGACAAGACCACCUGACUGUAGGAUCACAGCGUCCAUGAGUCAGUGGCAGUAUGGAGCAUCCGCAGGAUGACGAAGCUUUUCACAGUCCAUUGUCCUCGCUGAUGGGCCAUCUGCCCUGUCUGACUUUUCCAUUGUUGUACCUGAAGUGUUAGCAGUGGGCGUCACCCACAGUUGAAAUACAAGUAUAUAGUCGAUAUUCCAAACUUCAGAUCCAGAAAUGAUACAGGCAUACAAAUUGGAUAAUUGCAUUCAGCAAAUCAGAUAUCUCACAUGAGCCAUCUUGCAUAAAUAUAUCUCAGUUAUGUCGUAUCAUAAGCAUAUUUUCAUAAAGAAUAUGGAAUGACAUGUAACAGGAGGUGCCUGAGCGCAUUGCAUCAGAGUGCCUAGCCAAGGUCCACCCACCCAGGGUCAGGAAAUGCCAGAACUCAGCCCCAGUAGGGGAGCUAGGUUUGAGUCAGUGCUCCACUAUUCCCCAUGGUGAAUCGUGCUGCUGCCUAUCUGCCUGAAUCUUGGCAUUCCCUAACCAGCAUGCCAUCCUGCUGCACCUGCCUCUUCAACUUCAGCAUGUGCCAUGCCAGACAUCCACCUACGAGCCUUGGUCAGCUUGGACACUUCUGGCAAUUUUAUGGACCAGAACUUUAAGGAGCCUCGAAUUCGCAUCCUCUGCAAGGUCUUCCCUGAGCUUGUUGAAGUUAUAGAUGGGUCAUUCCUAUCUUCAGGCCCCGUCAUGCAUCAAACAACCCACCUGGAGGGCAUCAGCAUUGGCAGUCACUGAGAGAUCUUGCAGUUCAGGGUCAUCUGUGCCUUGCAUUCACCGGUCGUCCUUGGUGUCCCCUGGCUCAUUGCCCAUCAGCCCCAAAUUAGCUGGGGCUUGCGAUCUUACUUUUCUAUUCCCCGCAGAGCCGAUGAGCAUGCUUUCCCAACUCUAGUGAAUGGCUGGUCGCAUUCUGUGGCAUGCUCCAGCCCCCAAAGCAUCCAAAGUUUCAUUGGCAGUGCCCGGAAUUCCUGCCGAGUACAUAGAACACGCCACGGUAUUUGACAAACAGAAGGCAGACACUCUACUUCCACAGCACAGUGAUGACUGCACAAUUGACCUUCAACCAGGAACAGGAGUUCCUUUUGGGUGCAUUUACACCUGAUCUGUACCCAAGCUGCAGGCCCUCCAGGAGUACCUUGAGGAAAAUUUGCGGAAGAGGUUCAUGGUCCCUUGACUUCCCGAGUGCCAGCACAUGUCUUCUUCGUGGCCAAGAAGGAUGGCUCCCUCCCUUAUAUUGAUUAUUGAACCUUUAACGAGAUCACAGUCUGCGACUGAUGCCCCUUUUCAUGAAAGACUCCGGGUCAGGUCUUCACAAAGCUAGACUGGCGUGGAGCAUACAACCUGUCAGAAUCCAGCAAGGGAAUGUGUGAUGCUGACGGACCAGGGGCCAAGGCCCUUAGAUCUCAACUGACCACUAGCAACUAUGUAGCUGGAACCAGCCUGGCUCACCCAUGUACUAAUAUUGUUAAAACAGAGAAGCAUUACCAAGUGUGAAAUACUAGCUUGCCACAGGAGGUGUUCUCUUUUGCCCAACAAAAGAAGUCCCAUCAACACCAGAUGAACCGUUGCGGAACAUCAGAGGAUAAAAGACUUUGUUGAUUGCCCCCCUUACCCCUCCCACUUGAAGAAGAGGCAGGCAGCUGAAUUUGCAACUCAGCAGAAAGGGGAAAGGAAUAAAAAGCCCUAACAAGGAGGAACUGUAUCCUUUCUGCUUGGAGUCUGAGGAGCGGGACUUACUAAGCAUAAGCAAAAGAUCCCCAGUGGUUGGCCUGGAUUAGCCCUAAAGGCACAGAGCUUGCUUAUUGUAGAAGCUUCUAUUACCUUUUGAAACUUCAAACGGGAACACAUUUGUGUGUACAUUUACCUGCUUUAACCUUCUAAAUAACUCUAUUUCCUUUGCCUAGUUAAUAAAUCUUUAGAUAUUUUAUUUUAGGAUUGGUAAGACCCUUCGUUUUCAGUUUAAACUGAUUUUUAUUAAAAAAUUCUCAGGUUUUAAAAAUAGGAUUAUUCAGUUUUUUCUGAUUUUUCACUCUACUUUUGUAUCAUUCAAAUAUAUAAAAAAUAACUAGUUUCAUUAGCAAAAUACAAUAUCUGGCAUGAGUUAUAUGUAUUACGCUAAUACAUUAGUCUGUGUGUAUAUGCAAGGCUGCCUGUUGAAGUAAGGCUAUGUAUUGGUCUAGAAGAUACAAUAAACAAAGAGGCACACACGCAAGCUCUGAA